UACGAAGGGGGCUAGCGUUGUUCGGAUUUACUGGGCGUAAAGCGCACGUAGGCGGAUUGUUAAGUCGGGGGUGAAAUCCUGGAGCUCAACUUCAGAAUUGCCUUCGAUACUGGCUUUCUAGAGGCUGGAAGAGGUUAGUGGAAUUCCCAGUGUAGAGGUGAAAUUCGUAGAUAUUGGGAAGAACACCAGUGGCGAAGGCGGCUAACUGGUCCAGAUCUGACGCUGAGGUGCGGAAGCGUGGGGAGCAAACAGGG
rnacentral:rRNA from 1 species